GCAAGCUCAGGGCUCUGAGUUCAGUCUCCUGUACUGCAAAAAAAAAAAAAAAAAUAGAACUUUGCGUCUGGUUUUAUGUCUAACACAUAGUAGGCCUUAAUAGAUAAUUAUUUCGUGAAUGGGAUGGGUAUCCACUAAAAUAAGUAGCUACACCUUAAUGGAAAAAAGUCUAAUGAGACUCAAGUAAACUAUAUAAAAACAUCAGGUAUACCUAAUUCAGCCCUCUCCCUGUUGUGUGGAAAAGCUGCUACUUAAUGCAAAAAAGACUGACCUGAAGGCAAGCUGAAAAUGUGAUGUUGGUUCCUAUAUAUUGUCACUUGUGGAAAGAUUAUCUGGUAUCUGGUCACAAGGUCAGAGAUCGAACUGCUUUGGAGCUUCUGUAUCUUCUGUAGUUAGUCACUUAAUUUUUAGAUUUAUCACUAGGCUAUCGACCCUUCAUAUUUAUACUACAAAUUGUACUUGUUUGUUCCUAGAACCCUAACUAAACACUCACUAAAUAAAAAACUACUUCAAAAAUGACCCCACUGUACCUUAGGAAGCAAACAAGUUUUCAUGUGCUCACCUCAUCUACUCAACAGAAAGUUCUUAUUCACUCCUAGAGUCUGUCAUGAUAGCUGUUCAGGCCCAGGGUUCCAAAGUGGAUAAACUGUUCUAGUCUAGAUUUGACUUAAGCUCUGGAAUCUAUAGUAGGGUAUUGAGUAACAGAGGCCAGCAUUUGUUAUUAACAGCCUGACUAGUGUUCUUUAGUCCUGCAGUGAUUCCAGCAGUUUGAGUUUGAUAUUCCUCAUGUUUUUAAAGCAUUUGCAUAAUUCUUUCUGAAACUCCACCACCAAAUCACUUUCAGAAAUAGUAGAGUACCCAUUAGAGAUUCAUGUUCAAGAUUUGUUUUGCAGAUCAACGCAUUCACAUACAGUUUUCCUUUAAGUAUUUUAAAUUUUUAUGACAACCUUGUAAGAGUAGGUUUUGUUACCUUCAUUCAAAGAUGAAGAAAUAAAGACUGAGAAAGGUUAGAUAACUUGUCAGGAGAUCAAACCCAGAUAUUUUGGAUGCCUAACAAAUAGGAAUUAUUAUGUUUAGGCACUCGUACAUUUUUGUGUACCUAACUUAGUCUUAAAACAGGGCAAUAAAGAGGGUAUUUUUAGUCUGGUGUGGCACACACCUGUAAUCCUAGCACUUGCGAGGCAGAGGCAGGAGGAUCAUGAGUUCAAGGCUAGUCUAGGCUUCAUAGUAAGACCCAGUCUCAAAAAAUAAAUAAAAUAAAAAGAAUUUUUAUCUGAGUUUUACAGUUGAAGAGCCUGGGCACAAAGCAUGUAAGUUAUUUGCCUAUACUUAUCUGGAACCUGGGUUCCAGAGCCCAUCUAAUCUGAGAACCCAUGCUCUUAAGCCAUACUGCAUUGUUCUGCCUCCCACAUCCAACAUUUCUACUACACCAUGCUGCCUCUCUAGCUAUAUUGGAAGGGAGCAGGAGUAGAAGCCUUUUGGAGAAUGUGCCAGAAGGGGAAAAUGGCUCAAGACAGCCUUAAGGAGAGAAAAUGACAAGAAGUCUGAAAUAGGCAGCAGUUGUCCAGAGAAGUGGAAUGAUAGAACAUACAGUUCAUCAGGAGUCCAAGUGUUCUUACACCAACGUAUUCUAUUAAUUUAAAGCAAAUUUCUUUCUUGGGCUAGUGUGUGAUUCAAAUAGUGGAUUGGUUUUUGUUCAUUUGUUUUGGUUUUGUUUUUGUUUUUUUCCCACACUGCUGAGAAUUCAACCCAGGGCUUCAUGCAUGCUAGGCAAGCAUUCUACCUCUGGGCUAUAUAUAUCUCCAGUCCCUGAAAUAGUAUUUUAGCAUACCAUACUUCGGCUAACCUUUGUUGGUUGUUGACAUUCCUAUUCUGCAUUCAGCAGUGCCAAUUCAGUGCAUGAUUACUAAGCAGUGUUUUCCCAGAUGUGGUGGAACUUGGAAGGCUGAGGCAGAAGGAUCAUGAGUUCAAGGCCAGCCUCAACUACAUAGUGAGACCCUAUCUCAAAAGAAGAAAAAAAGACAAAAACAAAGCACUGUUUUGUUUGAGUUGUGUUGUUUAUUUUGUCUCUCUUGAUCACAAGCCAUUAACAAUUACUUCUUUAGAUUCGUUGUAUUCCCUUUUAGACUAUUUAGUAUUUUCUUCUGUUCAAUAAAUGUAUGUAAACCUCAGCAACAAGCAGUAGUUCUUGACAUUCCUUGGAGUUGAAUUGGAUGCCGUAUCCUGGACUAAGUCCUACUUCAUGCAAGUCAGCAAUAAUUGCCUGGAGCUUUUAGAUAGUAACCAUUUGCAGAUAACAAUACAAGAAACUCAAUCAUUGAGUUUUCUUUGCCAAACAUGUAAAGAACUGACUAAUCAUCUCUUAAACAGCUCCUGAGGACAUACAUGGAAUUAAUAGUAAUAUGAUGGAAAUUUCUCCACUCCAACACUUGUGCCAUAAUGUAGAGUUUAGGGGUUUAUCCUUUGUGUUGAAUGAGUUAAUAAAUAAAAGAUUGCUUCCCAGUAUAACAGGGAAGAAAUUUAUGGAUUAUUUCUUGUCUUGCAGUAGCACAUGCACAAUGGGCUUAGUCCUGCCUCUCUGGAGUGACACUCUAAUUCAUUUGGAUGGUGAUGGUGGUUUCAGCGUGUCAACAGAUAACAGAGUUCACAUAUUCAAACCUGUAUCUGUGCAGGCAAUGUGGUCUGCACUACAGAGCUUACAUAAGGCUUGUGAAGUGGCCAGAAUAAAUAACUACUACCCAGGCAGCCUGUUUCUCACCUGGGUGAGUUAUUAUGAGAGCCAUAUCAACUCAGAUCAAUCCUCAGUCAAUGAAUGGAAUGCUAUGCAAGAUGUGCAGUCCCAUCGGCCAGACUCUCCAGCUCUCUUCACAGACAUACCAACUGAACGUGAGCGAACAGAAAGGCUAAUUAAAACCAAAUUAAGGGAGAUUAUGAUGCAGAAGGAUUUGGAGAACAUCACUUCCAAAGAGAUUCGAACAGAGUUGGAAAUGCAGAUGGUAUGCAAUUUGCGGGAAUUCAAGGAAUUUAUAGAUAAUGAGAUGAUAGUGAUACUUGGUCAGAUGGAUAGUCCUACACAGAUAUUUGAGCAUGUGUUCCUGGUAAGUUUUAGAGCCAGUUUACGUGUUAUGUUGACACUACUCUGUAUGGAUUUGGGAGUUGGAGAUAAUUGUUAAAUUUUAUUAUAUUUAAAUAGGAUGUAAUUUACAUUAAAAACAAAGGUAAUAAGUACUCAAACCCCAUUACUUGCUAAUCAUUUUACUGCAUUUUAAUAUUAUUUGUGUUCUUAAGGUUAGUUACACAUAUUGUAUGGUAGAAAUGUUAUAUAAUGGUGUACUAUUGCUCAUCUCUUCCCAAUUCCUCAUUCAGUAACAGCAAGCUGGUAUAUUAAAAUUGACUAUGAUGGGAAUAUUUAUACCAAGGAAAUUAGCAAAUUUUUCUUUCCCCUUGGUUACUAAAUAUUUCACUUGCUUUCUAUAAUCUUCAAAGUCAAAAAUAUCAGUCUGUUGCAGUUUCAUGCAGUGUAUCUAAAUAGGAUGAUUUUUAAAAUCCUCCUUUCAAGUCUGUCAAAUGUGUCUAAGGUGUGAUAUAUAUUUGAGUAAGUAAGAACUACUUAUAACUGAGAGGCUAUUGGUUUGUGUUUUUUAUGGUGUUGAGGAUUGAACACAAGGCCUUGCACAUGCUAAGCACAUGUUCUACCACUGAGCUACAUCCCUAGGCCUAGACUUUUGUCUUUGCUUUUCUUUUUUCUUUUUUAAGCCUAGACUUCUAAA